rnacentral:rRNA from 1 species
AUUGAACGCUGGCGGCAGGCCUAACACAUGCAAGUCGAGCGGAUGAGGAAAGCUUGCUUUUCGAUUCAGCGGCGGACGGGUGAGUAAUGCCUAGGAAUCUGCCUGUUAGUGGGGGAUAACUCGGGGAAACUCGGGCUAAUACCGCAUACGUCCUACGGGAGAAAGUGGGGGAUCUUCGGACCUCACGCUAACAGAUGAGCCUAGGUCGGAUUAGCUAGUAGGUGAGGUAAUGGCUCACCUAGGCGACGAUCCGUAACUGGUCUGAGAGGAUGAUCAGUCACAAUGGAACUGAGACACGGUCCAGACUCCUACGGGAGGCAGCAGUGGGGAAUAUUGGACAAUGGGCGAAAGCCUGAUCCAGCCAUGCCGCGUGUGUGAAGAAGGUCUUCGGAUUGUAAAGCACUUUAAGUUGGGAGGAAGGGUAUUCACCUAAUACGUGGGUACUUUGACGUUACCAACAGAGUAAGCACCGGCUAACUCUGUGCCAGCCGCCGCCGUAAGAC